rnacentral:rRNA from 1 species
AUGGCUCCUACUGAGGCCGAGGCUGAUGUAGAGGAGGGAGAAGAGAAGAAGAAGAGGGAAAGGAAAGCAGCCAAAGCUGCUUUCACGUGGAUUCAAACUCACUUUGCGACAUGCCCUCCGGAUGCCACUGAUGAUGUGAUCCAGACACAUGCUCGUGUCUACAUGUGGUAUGUUGUGUCGAGGACUUUGUUUCCUGACUCCACUGGCAAGAACGCCCCAUGGAUGUGGCUGAAGGCGUUGACCGUCUUCGAUAGCAAAUGGAGCUGGGGUUCAGCGACUCUUGCCUACUUGUAUUGA